UACGUAGGGGGCAAGCGUUGUCCGGAUUUAUUGGGCGUAAAGAGCGUGUAGGCGGCCAGACAGGUCCGCUGUGAAAACUCGAGGCUCAACCUCGAGAUGUCGGUGGAAACCGUCUGGCUAGAGUCCGGAAGAGGCGAGUGGAACUCCUGGUGUAGCGGUGGAAUGCGCAGAUAUCAGGAAGAACACCAACGGCGAAGGCAGCUCGCUGGGACGGAACUGACGCUAAGGCGCGAAAGCGUGGGGAGCGAACAGG
rnacentral:rRNA from 1 species